rnacentral:tRNA from 1 species
UUUUAUAUAGUUUAUUUUAAAACUUUAUAUUUUCAUUAUAAAAAAAAUUUUUUAAUUUAUAAAUUAAUAUAAAAA